rnacentral:rRNA from 1 species
CCUACGGGAGGCAGCAGUGGGGAAUAUUGGACAAUGGGCGGAAGCCUGAUCCAGCAACGCCGCGUGAGGGAUGACGGCCUUCGGGUUGUAAACCUCUUUCAGCAGGGACGAAGCGCAAGUGACGGUACCUGCAGAAGAAGCACCGGCCAACUACGUGCCAGCAGCCGCGGUAAUACGUAGGGUGCGAGCGUUGUCCGGAAUUAUUGGGCGUAAAGGGCUCGUAGGCGGUUUGUCGCGUCGGGAGUGAAAACCAGGUGCUUAACACCUGGCUUGCUUUCGAUACGGGCAGACUAGAGGUAUUCAGGGGAGAACGGAAUUCCUGGUGUAGCGGUGAAAUGCGCAGAUAUCAGGAGGAACACCGGUGGCGAAGGCGGUUCUCUGGGAAUGACCUGACGCUGAGGAGCGAAAGUGUGGGGAGCGAACAGGAUUAGAUACCCUGGUAGUCCACACCGUAAACGUUGGGCGCUAGUGUGGUCGUACUCACGAGUCGUCGCGCNGACACGACAUAAGUACGCCCGCCCGCGGGAGGUACGGCCGCGACGACGUAAACGUUAAAAGUAAAGUAGACGGCGUGAGAGUUGCGAACGACGACGACGAGGGAGGAGG